CUAAGAUCGCUGGAUUUCCAUGGAAACAAAAGACUUCGCUGGAAAUCCAACGAAAAACUUCCAGUGAUCUUAAAGUUCGCUGGAAGUUUACUGGGUUUCUUGCGAAAUAUUUCGCGGUGAUGUAAAAAGCGUUGCUGUUACAACUUCUGCAAGCAGUUAAAACUUGGAAAAUUGAUAAUAUAGCUUCUUAAAAUAAUAUUUCAAAUUUUUGUAUAAAAGUAAUCCUUUUUAUUUUAUUUUUUGCAUCUAGUAGAUGAUCUAUAGUGUGAGUUUCAAUUAUUAUUAGUUCUACUCAAGUUACAAAACAAAAUCAUCUGGUAGUUUAAUGAUUAUAAUGGUUGCCAUUGGUGUUCUUCUCAAGGGGUAAAAGUUAAAAAAAGAAGACACUGUACUGUUGUAAAUAAUCUUUUAUCUGCAAUCAGUGUGCCAAGCAAUAUAAGACAGACUCGAUGAUCAUUAAGUUGUAUAAAGCAUUGGAAAGGAUAAAAGUGAUAAAAUGCUAUUGGUUGGAAAUUGAUAAAUUAAUAAAAAAUGAUUGAUUCUAAUUGCGCGAAAAUAUGUUGCUCUAAAGACCCAAACCGAAAAGAAUGCCUAAAGUGGUUUUCAAAAGAUGAAUUGACGAAUUUCUUAAUUCUUUUUGUUUCGUUGUGAUAAUUUGUCGUAUGAGGACGCUAACGAGAAAAAACUUUUUAAAUAUAGAAACAUGCGUAAUAUAAAGUUUACUUAUGCCUAUAAAAAAAUAUGUUUUACAUUAAUUAAUAAAUUAACUUUUUAGUUUCUUGUUAUAAAUUGUAUUCUGUAUUGAAGUUUAUUUCUGAGAAUUUGUAAUUAUACCUAAGAUAAUCUAAUCCUACAUUGUAUUUUAAUUUAUAAAACUCGAUAUUUUAAAAUAAAUAUAUUACUUUUUUAUCG